AACCCGUAGAUCCGAACUUGUGGUGAUUGUCCACACAAGCUUGUGUCUACAGGUCUG
rnacentral:pre_miRNA from 1 species